UACGAAGGGGGCUAGCGUUGCUCGGAAUCACUGGGCGUAAAGCGCACGUAGGCGGAUUGCUAAGUCAGGGGUGAAAUCCUGGAGCUCAACUCCAGAACUGCCCUUGAUACUGGCGGUCUCGAGUCCGGGAGAGGUGAGUGGAACUGCGAGUGUAGAGGUGAAAUUCGUAGAUAUUCGGAGGAACACCGAGUGGCGAAGGCGGCUCACUGGUCCGGUACUGACGCUGAGGUGCGAAAGCGUGGGGAGCAACAGG
rnacentral:rRNA from 1 species